CACUCAGCAUUGGCAAUGUCUGUAGUCAGCAGGCCCCAUCCUGAAGACCAGAGCGAUGGCUGCAUGGUGAUGCCUGGAUCCAGCCCUUCUUGUUCAGAAGAGAACACCAAGGGUCAGAGGGGCAGGACUGUACUUGGGUCACACUGGAAGAUGAUGACUAAGUGCACCUGCACUCCUCCAGGAGUCUUGGAUGCACCUGCCAUUCAAGGGCAAGCUCUGUUGGGACUCAGUUCCAGUUCCGGUUCCACCUCCUCCUCCUAACCACGUGACCUCGGCAUGUCACUUGACCUGUUGAAGCCCGGCUUUCUCAAAUGUCAACUGAGGAUGAUCAAACUGCCCCAGCCUCCAGGAACGGUUGUGAGGAUUAGGCAAAGCACUUCCUCUACCGGCCCAGUGGAGCCACAGACAAUCCAGUGCCUUCAGUGUAAGAAACUCUGGCAAAGACUCGCUCAAAGUCAACACACUUUCUGUUGACCACUUCCUUUAACC